rnacentral:tRNA from 1 species
GCCGGGGUGGCGGAAUGGUAGACGCACGGGACUUAAAAUCCCGCGAACGCAAGUUCGUGGGGGUUCGACUCCCCCUCUCGGCACCA